rnacentral:tRNA from 1 species
GCCUGGAUGGCUCACUCGGUUGAGCAUCUGACUUCAGCUUAGGUCAUGAUCUCACGGUUCAUGAGUUCAAGCCCCAUAUCUGGCU